AGUAUGAAAGGAGACUGAAGUGAACAUCAUGAGAUAAGAUUCAAGGGGGAACUGAACUCAACCAGGAAGCUAGGAGGGAAAGAAGGAUAGAGGGGAGAGAAAGAGAUAAUCUAUCCGCAAAUCUAAUUUCUACUGACAAACAGCCACCAACCCACCUGAAUGACCAACAACCAUCAACCUCACCUCUCAGGUAGUGCCACCUCUGCUGAUUCAUGUUUGAUAUCCAAAUUCUACUGAACUGGACUGCUGGUGUAUCUGUGAAGUGUUUCUGAGUGGAUUGAGCUGUUGCCAUUGGCCUGUGAACUGAACUGCUGAUUUCCAGACAACACAGAUGAGAGUUGCUUCAAAGAACCCUUCCUAAACAGGUGACAGUUCAUGAAAGCUCCAUUCGUGGACGUCUACGCACAACUUGAUGGUCACUCAACAGAGCCAAGAAUCUCCUCUUGACAGUGCUGUUGGUUAGUCUCAUCACUCAACAGUUGUUUCCUGUUCAACAAGUUGGGUAGGGGCCUUCCAGACUCUUCCAAGUUUUUACUUUUUAGUUUUAAUUUUUUACUUUGACAUGAUGUCUGUUUACCUCCCCAGUCUCAUGAGCCUCCGCCUUCCUCCUAUAGAUUAUGUUUCAAUUUGAGGCAAGUGCUAUACAAUUGUAUGUAUAUGUGUGUGGGGAUGAGUGUAACUUUGGGUUAGAGUUGGUUCCAGGAAUGGAACAGAAAUAAACAGGUUGGAACAA
rnacentral:lncRNA from 1 species